rnacentral:rRNA from 1 species
UUUGGUUAAGUUAGAAAGGGCGCACGGUGGAUGCCUUGACACUAGGAGUCGAUGAAGGACGGGACUAACGCCGAUAUGCUUCGGGGAGCUGUAAGUAAGCUUUGAUCCGAAGAUUUCCGAAUGGGGAAACCCACUAUACGUAAUGGUAUGGUAUCCUUAUCUGAAUACAUAGGGUAAGGAAGACAGACCCAGGGAACUGAAACAUCUAAGUACCUGGAGGAAGAGAAAGCAAAUGCGAUUUCCUGAGUAGCGGCGAGCGAAACGGAACAUAGCCCAAACCAAGAGGCUUGCCUCUUGGGGUUGUAGGACAUUCUAUACGGAGUUACAAAGGAACGAGGUAGACGAAGCGACCUGGAAAGGUCCGUCGUAGAGGGUAACAACCCCGUAGUCGAAACUUCGUUCUCUCUUGAAUGUAUCCUGAGUACGGCGGAACACGUGAAAUUCCGUCGGAAUCUGGGAGGACCAUCUCCCAAGGCUAAAUACUCCCUAGUGAUCGAUAGUGAACCAGUACCGUGAGGGAAAGGUGAAAAGCACCCCGGAAGGGGAGUGAAAGAGAUCCUGAAACCGUGUGCCUACAAAUAGUCAGAGCCCGUUAACGGGUGAUGGCGUGCCUUUUGUAGAAUGAACCGGCGAGUUACGAUCCCGUGCGAGGUUAAGCUGAAGAGGCGGAGCCGCAGCGAAAGCGAGUCUGAAUAGGGCGUUUAGUACGUGGUCGUAGACCCGAAACCAGGUGAUCUACCCAUGUCCAGGGUGAAGUUCAGGUAACACUGAAUGGAGGCCCGAACCCACGCACGUUGAAAAGUGCGGGGAUGAGGUGUGGGUAGCGGAGAAAUUCCAAUCGAACCUGGAGAUAGCUGGUUCUCCCCGAAAUAGCUUUAGGGCUAGCCUUAAGUGUAAGAGUCUUGGAGGUAGAGCACUGAUUGGACUAGGGGUCCUCAUCGGAUUACCGAAUUCAGUCAAACUCCGAAUGCCAAUGACUUAUCCUUAGGAGUCAGACUGCGAGUGAUAAGAUCCGUAGUCAAAAGGGAAACAGCCCAGACCGCCAGCUAAGGUCCCAAAGUGUGUAUUAAGUGGAAAAGGAUGUGGAGUUGCUUAGACAACUAGGAUGUUGGCUUAGAAGCAGCCACCAUUUAAAGAGUGCGUAAUAGCUCACUAGUCGAGUGACUCUGCGCCGAAAAUGUACCGGGGCUAAAUACACCACCGAAGCUGCGGAUUGAUACCAAUGGUAUCAGUGGUAGGGGAGCGUUCUAAGGACAGUGAAGUCAGACCGGAAGGACUGGUGGAGUGCUUAGAAGUGAGAAUGCCGGUAUGAGUAGCGAAAGACGGGUGAGAAUCCCGUCCACCGAAUGCCUAAGGUUUCCUGAGGAAGGCUCGUCCGCUCAGGGUUAGUCAGGACCUAAGCCGAGGCCGACAGGCGUAGGCGAUGGACAACAGGUUGAUAUUCCUGUACCACCUCUUUAUCGUUUGAGCAAUGGAGGGACGCAGAAGGAUAGAAGAAGCGUGCGAUUGGUUGUGCACGUCCAAGCAGUUAGGCUGAUAAGUAGGCAAAUCCGCUUAUCGUGAAGGCUGAGCUGUGAUGGGGAAGCUCCUUAUGGAGCGAAGUCUUUGAUUCCCCGCUGCCAAGAAAAGCUUCUAGCGAGAUAAAAGGUGCCUGUACCGCAAACCGACACAGGUAGGCGAGGAGAGAAUCCUAAGGUGUGCGAGAGAACUCUGGUUAAGGAACUCGGCAAAAUGACCCCGUAACUUCGGGAGAAGGGGUGCUUUCUUAACGGAAAGCCGCAGUGAAUAGGCCCAAGCGACUGUUUAGCAAAAACACAGCUCUCUGCGAAGCCGUAAGGCGAAGUAUAGGGGGUGACACCUGCCCGGUGCUGGAAGGUUAAGGAGAGGGGUUAGCGUAAGCGAAGCUCUGAACUGAAGCCCCAGUAAACGGCGGCCGUAACUAUAACGGUCCUAAGGUAGCGAAAUUCCUUGUCGGGUAAGUUCCGACCCGCACGAAAGGUGUAACGAUUUGGGCACUGUCUCAACCAGAGACUCGGUGAAAUUAUAGUACCUGUGAAGAUGCAGGUUACCCGCGACAGGACGGAAAGACCCCGUGGAGCUUUACUGUAGCCUGAUAUUGAAUUUUGGUACAGUUUGUACAGGAUAGGCGGGAGCCUUUGAAACCGGAGCGCUAGCUUCGGUGGAGGCGCUGGUGGGAUACCGCCCUGACUGUAUUGAAAUUCUAACCUACGGGUCUUAUCGACCCGGGAGACAGUGUCAGGUGGGCAGUUUGACUGGGGCGGUCGCCUCCUAAAGUGUAACGGAGGCGCCCAAAGGUUCCCUCAGAAUGGUUGGAAAUCAUUCGUAGAGUGCAAAGGCAUAAGGGAGCUUGACUGCGAGACCUACAAGUCGAGCAGGGACGAAAGUCGGGCUUAGUGAUCCGGUGGUUCCGCAUGGAAGGGCCAUCGCUCAACGGAUAAAAGCUACCCCGGGGAUAACAGGCUUAUCUCCCCCAAGAGUCCACAUCGACGGGGAGGUUUGGCACCUCGAUGUCGGCUCAUCGCAUCCUGGGGCUGUAGUCGGUCCCAAGGGUUGGGCUGUUCGCCCAUUAAAGCGGUACGCGAGCUGGGUUCAGAACGUCGUGAGACAGUUCGGUCCCUAUCCGUCGUGGGCGUAGGAAAUUUGAGAGGAGCUGUCCUUAGUACGAGAGGACCGGGAUGGACGCACCGCUGGUGUACCAGUUGUUCUGCCAAGGGCAUAGCUGGGUAGCUAUGUGCGGAAGGGAUAAGUGCUGAAAGCAUCUAAGCAUGAAGCCCCCCUCAAGAUGAGAUUUCCCAUAGCGUAAGCUAGUAAGAUCCCUGAAAGAUGAUCAGGUUGAUAGGUUCGAGGUGGAAGCAUGGUGACAUGUGGAGCUGACGAAUACUAAUAGAUCGAGGACUUAACCAUAUAA